GCCAGGCACGGUGGCACAUGCCUGUAAUCCCAGCAGCUCGGGAGGUUGAAGAGGGAGGAUCUCAAGUUUGAGGCCAGUCUCAGCAACUUAGCAAGACCCUCAGCAACUUUGAAAGACCCUAUCUCUA
rnacentral:sRNA from 1 species